rnacentral:antisense_RNA from 1 species
ACCAACAACAACCUUUUUAUUUUUCAUUUUACUCCUUAUAAGAGUAAUUACUCCUUUUUCCAUUGGGCUUAACCGACCCAAUGGUUUUUUU